GCGUAGGAAUCUGCCCAGUAGAGGGGGAUAGCCCGGGGAAACUCGGAUUAAUACCGCAUAAGCCCUACGGGGGAAAGGCCGGGAUCUUCGGACCGGUCACUAUUGGAUGAGCCUGCGUUGGAUUAGCUUGUUGGUGGGGUAAAGGCCCACCAAGGCGACGAUCCAUAGCUGGUCUGAGAGGAUGAUCAGCCACACUGGGACUGAGACACGGCCCAGACUCCUACGGGAGGCAGCAGUCGGGAAUAUUGGACAAUGGGGGCAACCCUGAUCCAGCCAUGCCGCGUGUGUGAAGAAGGCCUU
rnacentral:rRNA from 1 species